rnacentral:rRNA from 1 species
UACGUAGGGUGCAAGCGUUGUCCGGAAUUAUUGGGCGUAAAGAGCUCGUAAGCGGUUCGUCGCGUCGGCUGUGAAAUCCCGAGGCUCAACCUCGGGUCUGCAGUCGAUACGGGCGGACUGGAGUUCGGCAGGGGAGACUGGAAUUCCUGGUGUAGCGGUGAAAUGCGUAGAUAUCUGGAGGAACACCGGUGGCGAAGGCGGCAUCCUGGACCGGUAUUGACGCUGAUGCGCGAAAGCCAGGGGAGCAAACGGG